UACAGAGGGUGCGAGCGUUAAUCGGAAUUACUGGGCGUAAAGCGUGCGCAGGCGGUUGUGCAAGACAGGUGUGAAAUCCCCGGGCUUAACCUGGGAACUGCACUUGUGACUGCACGGCUUGAGUGCGGCAGAGGGGGAUGGAAUUCCGCGUGUAGCAGUGAAAUGCGUAGAUAUGCGGAGGAACACUGAUGGCGAAGGCAAUCCCCUGGGCCUGCACUGACGCUCAUGCACGAAAGCGUGGGGAGCAAACAGG
rnacentral:misc_RNA from 1 species